rnacentral:rRNA from 1 species
AUUGAACGCUGGCGGCAGGCUUAACACAUGCAAGUCGAGCGAGCGGCGGACGGGUGAGUAAUGUCUGGGAAACUGCCUGAUGGAGGGGGAUAAAUCCUGGAAACGGUAGCUAAUACCGCAUACCAUCAGAUGUGCCCAGAUGGGAUUAGCUAGUAGUUGGGGUAAUGGCUCACCUAGGCGAAGAUCCCUAGCUGGCGUUAGAGGAUGACCAGCCACACUUGAACUCAGACCCGGUACAGACUCCUUCGGGAGACAGCAGUGGGGAAUAUUUCACAAUGGGCUCAAGCCUGAUGCAGCCAUGCCGCGUGUGUGAAGAAGGCCUUCGGGUUGUAAAGCACUUUCAGCGAGGAGGCGUUACUCGCAGAAGAAGCACCGGCUAACUCCGGGCCAGCAGCCGCGGUAAUUC